GAAGGCUCACGGCCUUUGUACAACGCGCGAAUUAUUCAGGCAAUUUACGAUGCUGUUUCCAAUAAUAAACAUUUUGAAAAACCAACUCGAUCAGAAUUCCAACGCUAUAUGCGAGAAGCCUUGAGAUCGGCAAAACAACGCCACAGGACAUAUAAGCGACAAAAUAGAUCGAGGAAGAAGGUGCGAAAUGUGGCUCAAAAAUAUUGGGCCGACGAAGAGGAAUUGGACAACGAACCGGAUGAAGCAGUGGAACAAAAUGAAAGUGAUUAGUGCCUUGAAGAUUAUACAAGUAGAAUUGGAUUCAUCGUUGGAUUAAUUGUUGGAUUCAUCGUUGGAUUUAUCGCCCUUUGUGAUAUAAACGGUGAUAUAAAAUAAAUUAAAAUAAGUUUUAAGUUAAA